GCCGGGCACAGUGGUGCCUGCCUGUAGUCCCAGCUACUUGGGAGGUUGAGGCUGGAGAUCACUUGAGUCCAGGAGUUAUGGGCUGUAGUGCACUAUGCCGAUGGGGUGUCCCACUAAAUUCGGCAUCAAUAUGGUGACCUCCCAGGAGCGGUGGACCAUCAGAUUACUUAAAGAGGAGUGAACCGGCCCAAGUCUGAAACGGAGCAGGUAAAAACUCCAUGCUAAUCAUUAGUGGGAUCGCGCCUGUGAAUAGCCAUUGCACUGCAGCCUGGGCUACAUAGCGAGACCGCGUCUCU
rnacentral:SRP_RNA from 1 species